rnacentral:rRNA from 1 species
GGGCGCGUCGCAGCCCCGGAUCCCAUGGCGCCCGCCGGAGGACCAACCAAACUCUUUUUCUCUCUCCGUCGCGGCUCCGUCGCGGCUCUGUUUUAUUUUUGCUCUGAGCCUUUCUCGGCGACCCUAGCGGGCGUCUCGAAAAUGAAUCAAAACUUUCAACAACGGAUCUCUUGGUUCUGGCAUCGAUGAAGAACGCAGCGAAAUGCGAUAAGUAAUGUGAAUUGCAGAAUUCAGUGAAUCAUCGAAUCUUUGAACGCACAUUGCGCCCGCCAGUAUUCUGGCGGGCAUGCCUGUCCGAGCGUCAUUUCAACCCUCGAACCCCUCCGGGGGGUCGGCGUUGGGGAUCGGCCCCCUCACCGGGGCCGCCCCCGAAAUCCAGUGGCGGUCUCGCCGCAGCCUCUCCUGCGCAGUAGUUUGCACACUCGCACCGGGAGCGCGGCGCGGCCACAGCCGUAAAACACCCCAAACUCUGAAAUGUUGACCUCGGAUCAGGUAGGAAUACCCGCUGAACUUAAGCAUAUCAAAGUCCGGAGGAACC